rnacentral:rRNA from 1 species
UACGGAGGGGGCAAGCGUUAUUCGGAAUUAUUGGGCGUAAAGGGCGCGUAGGCGGCUUGGCAAGUGACGGGUGAAACCCCUCGGCUUAACCGAGGAACUGCCCGUUAGACUGCUUCGCUUGAGACCGGGAGAGGUGAGUGGAAUUCCCAGUGUAGCGGUGAAAUGCGUAGAUAUUGGGAGGAACACCAGUGGCGAAGGCGGCUCACUGGACCGGUACUGACGCUGAGGCGCGAAAGCGUGGGGAGCAAACAGG